rnacentral:lncRNA from 1 species
ACAUACCCAUUCCUAACAGCAAGGAAAUACAGGAAAUGUAAGCUUGGCCGGAUUUUCUUAUUACAGAAGAAGGGCAAAAUUAACUCCAGUGACAGUUGCUACUUGGAGCCCUAUUCACAAUAGUUGUAUACCCCAUCAUGCAGUUCCUGCCAAGGACGAACCACAUGUGUGAUGGUAGAAGCCCCAAAUGGUAAUACUGGAAUUGAAAACAAAGGGCCUGUGGUCAGUGGUACACUGAUUGCCUAGCAGUACAAAGAGAAAGAGAAAUGUCAGUGACCUGGUGAUGUGGUGGCCAUGGGUGCGUCAUGACUGGGACGAUGCAAUAGCACGGAAUGGGCGUAUAUAUUUACUGUACUUUUAAAUCUUUACUUCUUCUACCCACUCUAAAGCUUGCAAUGGCAUAGGCUGGUGGCGGCCUCAUUCAUGUGGUGUUUACAUAUCCUUGGAUAGCAUCAGGGACAGUGCCGAAUGAUUGGCCCUCACUGUCUCCCUCUAUGGGAGCUACUCUGUGAGGUCUAUAUGAUGAUGAUGUCACCCGAGGGAGGCCAUAGUACACAGACUAUGUCCAGUUGUCAGUGACUCAUGACUGUGUAUGAAAAUGACACGUCCCACCUAUCACCAGAUGGCCUCAACUGAACCAGCCUGUGACCUCCAUUACAGGAUGUUCAGGAGGUUGUCAGGGAAUGGCAUUGUCUUAUUCCACUGAAGGGACAGAAGGGUGUGUGACUGUGCUAUCUGGGCCACCUUAUCUGUUCUGGGAACUGGCUUUGGGAGGGUGUAGUAGUUUGAAUGAGUAAAGUCCCCAUGAGCUAGCACACUGAACACUUAGUCUCCAGAGAGUGGUGCUGUUUGGGAGGUUAUUGAACAUUGCAGAGGUGAGCCUCACUGGAAGAAGUACAUCACCGAGGGCAGGCUUUGAGGGAUUAUAGCCUGACCUUCCUUCCUGAUCUCCCCAUCUCUCUCUGUCUGUGUCUGUCUCUCUGUGUGUCUGUCUGUCUUCCAUCUGUCCUCAUCUCUCUUUGUCUCUAUGUGUGUCUGUCUCUCUGUUUCUCUGUCUCUCUGUGUUUCCCUGUCUCUGUCUUUCUGUCUCCCUCCUCUCCAUCUGUCUCUCUAUGUCUUGUUCUCUAUGUGUGUCUUUCUGUCUGCUGUCUGUCUUUGUCUCUUUGCCUCUCUCUAUUCCUGUCUAUUCCUCUGUCUCUCUGUCUCUCCAUGUUUGUCUCUGUGUGUCUCUGUCUCUCUUUGUCUCUCUCUCUCUGUCUGACUCUGUCUGUCUCUCUGUCUGACUCUGUCUCUCUCUCUCUGUCUCUCUCUCUCUUCCCGCCCCCUUUCUAUGUGUAGAUGCAAUGUGAUCAGCCAGCUUCCUGCUCCUACCCCAUUCCUUCCCUGCCUGUUGCCAUGGUGGGCUCCAUCCCUUUGGAACCUGAAGCCAAAAGAAACCUUUCUCUCUUAAGUUGUUUCCCAUCAGGGGGUUCUAUCACACUGUUGCUAAAACUUUUUUCUAGAGGGAGCUGUAGACAACACCCUAAGGUUCCUGUGACAACCUGGUGCAUGGGUUCACUACAGUUCACUCAGUGAGUUCCUUGGGCUUCCUUACAAGCAUAGGUGAGGGGUGACUUACAGGAAUGUGGGUGCUCCUGCCCCAACAAGGCCACACUGGAAGGUCCACUCAUCAGGAAGGAGAGCUUUCCCAUAGCUGCACAGAUGGAGCCCCUCCCCUAGACUUCCCUAGCGUAUAUAGUCUAGCCCCACACCAAAGCCAUGUGUAAUUCAAGCAGAAUUGCAUGUGACUUGUUGUUUGGAAUGGCUGGAGAAGCAGUCCACAGUUCCAACUUGGAUAAUCUUUUAUAAGUGGGCCCAGAUGAACUCCCCAAGAUGGUGGUUGUUUGGCUUGGAGAAGUCAUGAGAAAAGGGGCUUCCUUAUCCUGGUAAGUAGACAUGAUGAUAGUGAGCUAACCUUGAAUCAGAGAUCUGAUAUCUACUGAGGUAAAUGAGAUACUAAUGAGAGAGUUAGGGCUUCCAUGCCAGUUACCCAGUACGUGCCCGCAAGUGUUAGCUGGUGUCUACACUGAGGUAGGUGGAAGGACAAAUCAUGUGGGUCCAGCCAGCAAAGCUUCGCUCUUAUCCCCUAGUGAUGCACAGUGCGGCCAUCUUCCUCCUGCACCAGGGAUGUGGAAGGGGUGCCUUGUGUGUAAUCGUUUUUAGACACUGAUGAAGACCAGACAACAAAGGCUCCACUGUCUCUCAGGCCGCUUGUCUAAUUAGGGAAAAUAUCAAGUGAAAAGGUGGGGAGGAAGGGGCCGAGUAGCGUGUUUGGUUGGAAAGCUGUGUUUAGGCCGAGCCAGCUCUGCCUUUAAUUAUGCUGUCUGAGUUGACUUUAAUGGGCAUCAUUGUUAAUGCCUUCAUUCCAAGGAAGGGAAAAUAGUACUCUUCGCAUCUGAGCACAUAAAACAGCCUGGUUCUUAAGCUGCCCAUCACAGUGCUGGCCAGAAGGUGGGCUGCUGGCUGCUACCGGAAAACGGGAGGAUCCUGCCAUGUCUUCACCACCCAGACUGUUGUCACAAAAGUACCUUAGACUAAUGUGUUCCUUUAUCAUCGCUGUGACCAAAUAUAUACCUGACAAGAAGGAAAGAAGUAUGAAUUUGUCUCGGGUUGGCAGGGCACAGUCUGCCCUGGGAGAGGGAGCAGGACGACGACAGGAGCCAUUCAGACUGUGACCAGAGAGUAAGUGCUAGCCACAGAGAGCUGGUACCCGGGCCAGGAGAGAUGCUCAGCAGUUCAGAGCACUUCCUGCUUCUGCAGAGGACCAGAGUUCCUCAGGCCGCUCACACAACUGCCUGUCACCCCAGCUUCAGGGGACUGGGCACCUUCUGGCUCCCGGUGGUACCAUCACUCACAUGGACACAUGCGCAUGCGCCUGUGCAUACAUACACAUAUAUUCACAUAAUCUUAAAACUU